CUGUGUUCUUCAUUUGGAGUUGCUUGUUCUAGCUUGCUCUCAUCUCCGGCUAUUGAUUCAUUUCAUCGUUUCUACACCGUCAUCGACUUGUUAAGAGGUCACUAGCUUCAUCUUCUCAACAUUUAGAAGCGGCGUAUGUCAUUUCCUAGUGUUAUGUAUAUUAUUUUUUAUUUUAUGGUUUUUUUAAGAGGUUAUUAGCGUCAUCGCCAUUUCAAAAGCGACGCGUUUUUUUAGAGAAAUAGUGGUAAUAUGUUUUUUAUUUUAAUUAGUUUAGAAAAAAAUAAAAACAUAUAAUACUUUAAUUUGCAAUUUU
rnacentral:lncRNA from 1 species